rnacentral:misc_RNA from 1 species
GAUGAAGAACGUAGCGAAAUGCGAUAGGUAGUGUGAAUUGCAGAUGUAACGUGAAUCAUCGAAUCUUUGAACGCAAAUUGCACUCUCUGGUAUUCCGGGGAGUAUGCCUGUUUGAGGGUCGCCAAAUCAACAUCGAAAUUCAUUUGCUUUUGUAAAUGUUUAUCGGAUUUGAGCCGUCUUUUAUUUUUUUAAUUAAAGUGGCUUAAAAUGUAUUUUUUGGUAUCGAAAAACGUUAUUUUACGAUCAAAUUGAUUAAAAAAACAAACGUUUCGAAUGCCGUCUUUUAAUGUAAUACGCUUGACUGUGGUGUUAAUCAUAGUUUCAUUCGUAUACGAUUUUUUAAUUUUUGACUUCAAAUCAGGUAAGAACACCCGCUGAACUUAAGCAUAUCAAUAAGCGGAGGA